CGCUGAGCUGUUGGAUGAGGUCUGCCAGCUCGCCGGUAGCUUGAGAUUUCUCUUCAAGAAGCUCAUAGCGCAGGCUGGAGAUAUCUUGCUUGAUUUCCUUCAGUUCGCCUGCAAGGACAGAUGAGAUUUUGGGAGGAGAAGCUCCCAAGCGUCUGAGGGGAUCAGCUCAGCACAGUGGCUGCGGCUGUGGAGCCAGGCCUCCUCACAGGGGCAGAGUCUGUCCGCACCACGCAAGCAGCAUCCCUCACCGGUGCGCCACGCUUAAUACAUUGCCUGAUGUUCAACCUUCAGUCAUUCAGCAAACCUCCUACUGUGUGCCCACCUAGCGCUCACCUGCUGUGUGCCUGGCCUGUGCGAGAUCAAGAGAUGGGACUUCCCUGGUGGCACAGUGGUCAAGAAUCCACCUGCCAAUGCAGGGGAUACUGGUUUGAGCCCUGGCCUGGGAAGAUCCCACAUGCCGCGGAGCAACUAAGCUCGUGUGCCACAACUACUGAGCUCCCAUGCCAUAACUACUGAAGCCCGUGCGCCUAGAGCCCGUGCUCCCCAACAAGAGAAGCCACCGCAAUGAGAAGCCUGCGCACCGCAACAGAGUAGCCCCACCCCCGCUCGCCGCAACUAGAGAAAGCCCGCGCACAGCAACGAAGACCCAAUGCAGCCAUAAAUAAAUAAAUACAUUUAUUAAAAAAAAAGAUCAAGAGAUGCAUUUAAAUGCUGACA